rnacentral:lncRNA from 1 species
AAAGUUUUAGCAUGAUUCACGCAUCAUGAAUGCCAUGAGAUAUAUUAGGAUGCUUGCAUUAGAACUCAUGAAUAUGUUGCAUUGCAUAUUAUGUUGUUGAUGUGGAUGAAUGUUGGAUGAUCCUCUAGCCUGCACUAUGAUAUGAUAUGAUAUGAGACAGUGAUGAUACGGUAUGGAAGACUAGUGAGGCCCAUUCUAUGCCCCUGGCACUAUGUAAGAGAAAGACCAGUGAGGCCCAUUCUACGCCCCUGGCAUGUUGGAAUGUUAUGUUAUGUUAAUGUAAGAGAAAGACCAGUGAGGCCCAUUCUACGCCUCUGGCACUAUUAGAAUGUGUAGUGGGCUAUUAGUGACAAGUUCAUCCUUGAUGUGAUUUGUCUGUAAUAUGAUGCAUUCCAUAAUAGCAUAUGUUUUAAAUAUUUUAUUAUUCUGCUCACUGGGCUCUAGUAGCUCACCCCAUUUCCCUUAAUCCCCCAGGUUUGCAGGUACGGGCUAGUCCAGGAGGUCAGCAGGAUUAGAAGCGUUUUAUGUAAUAGUUAGUUGUGGACAUGAGAAUAUUGUGAUGUAAUGUAUUGAAUAGUCAUGUAAUGUUAAGAAUUAUAUUGAGGAUAGAAUUGUGCUUGGCCCUAGUGUAUGUUAAUCCCUUUUUGG